rnacentral:rRNA from 1 species
GACGAACCGUACAAACGUUAUUCGGAAUCACUGGGCUUAAAGGGUGCGUAGGCGGCGCUGUAAGUUGGGUGUGAAAUCCCUCGGCUCAACCGAGGAACUGCGCCCAAAACUACAGUGCUUGAGGGAGAUAGAGGUGAGCGGAACUUAGGGUGGAGCGGUGAAAUGCGUUGAUAUCCUAAGGAACGCCAGGGGCGAAAGCGGCUCACUGGGUCUCCUCUGACGCUGAGGCACGAAAGCUAGGGUAGCGAACGGG